rnacentral:lncRNA from 1 species
UUUCAGUCCUAUACCUACUGUAUCUUCUAAUUUGCCAGAAUUACCAUCAUCUUUGCUGCAUGUGAGUUCUAGUAUCUCUAGUGUAACAUCUUCAUUGCCUUCAGCACCAUCUACUUUGCCUCCUGCACCAUCUGCUUUGCCUCCUGCUCCUUCUGCUUUGCCUCCUGCACCUUCUACUUUGCCUACUGCACCUUCUGCUUUGCCUCUUGCACCUUCUGCUUUGCCUCAUGCAUCUUCUGCCUUAUCUCCUGUACCCUCUGCAACACUUGCUUCUGAAAUUUUACCAGUAUCAGUAACAAACAAGGCACCCAAUGUUUCAAAUUCAGCAGUCAGUUUAGCCACUAACUUACCAUCACUGACUU